CCUCAGCCGCGGACGGCGUCCCGAGCGGUCGGACGGGGGAAGAGUCGCCCAAGGUCACUUGAGUCGGGGGCCGGCCCGGGAGCCGCCGCGGGGCUCCGCGCCUCCGGCGUCCGCCCUGACUCCCUGGGCCCGGGCCGCCUGCAGCCGCCCCGGAGCGGGGAGCCCCGUAGGCUCGGGGCCGGCCGAGCUGCCCGCCCGGACUUGUGUCAUCCGCGCCCACGAGACUUGGCUUGUCGUGCUUUGUUGGUGUUUGCUUUUGUUUUGUUUUCAGGAAACCAAAAUGUUUGUAGUUGGACUUACCCGGGAAAGCUGUCCUACCUCAAUUACAUUCGUUGUCUCUUCGAGAAAUGUAAAGUGACCUGGGUAGAAAUGCUCCCUCGGCGUGCUAGAUUUUUCCAUAGUUUCUGUUUUUUGGCUUUGAAAGAGAUUUCUAAGGAAGGGAAAGCCUACGGCCGGCGAGAGAGUUCUGGCCUCGGAUUAUCUGAAGCAACUCAGGCACACGGUGAGAGAGAGAGAGAGGCAGAGACACAGGCAGAGGGAGAAGCAGGCUCCGUGCACCGGGAGCCCGAUGUGGGAUUCGAUCCCGGGUCUCCAGGAUCGCGCCCUGGGCCAAAGGCAGGCGCCAAACCGCUGCGCCACCCAGGGAUCCCCAGUGUUCACAGCCAGCACCGUGGAAAUUGUCAAAAGUACAACAAAAAGUAG
rnacentral:lncRNA from 1 species